rnacentral:lncRNA from 1 species
CUCUGAAAACAUUUAUUGUAACAUACGGCUCAUCUAUGGGAUGACCAUUCUGAUACUCUAAUGAGUUUUGGAUUUGUUUAUCUGUACAUUAAGUUGUAGGAGGGUUCUGGCAGGACACAGAUGUGUAACACUUAAGGGGAUAACUGUAGAGUGUGUUAAUUUAUCUGGUAGAAAGACCCGCUCUUCAUAUUAACACUCUGUAUAAACAUCU